UACGUAGGGUGCGAGCGUUGUCCGGAAUUAUUGGGCGUAAAGAGCUUGUAGGCGGUUUGUCACGUCGGGAGUGAAAACUCGGGGCUUAACCCCGAGCCUGCUUCCGAUACGGGCUGACUUGAGGAAGGUAGGGGAGAAUGGAAUUCCUGGUGAAGCGGUGGAAUGCGUAGAUAUCAGGAGGAACACCAGUGGCGAAGGCGGUUCUCUGGACCUUUCCUGACGCUGAGAAGCGAAAGCGUGGGGAG
rnacentral:rRNA from 1 species